AUCUUUCGCCUCCUUAUACCAGUGUGUUAACUCCACGGCUCCCUCAUACUUGUGUGAUCUUCUCACACCAUACACUCCUGCUCGUGCCCUCAGAUCCAGUAACCAACACCUGCUGGAUCCUCCAUCAUUCAACCUCAAGACAUUUGGUGCCCGUUCUUUUGCUUCAGUUGCAACCGCACUAUGGAACU